rnacentral:rRNA from 1 species
GGCGUCCGAGUUGUAAUUUGAAGAGGGUGCCAAGGCGUUGACGGCGGUCUAAGUCCCUUGGAACAGGGCAUCACAGAGGGUGAGAAUCCCGUAUGUGGCCGCAAGCCUUUCGCGGUGUAAAGCCCCUUCGACGAGUCGAGUUGUUUGGGAAUGCAGCUCUAAAUGGGAGGUAAAUAUCUUCUAAAGCUAAAUACCGGCCAGAGACCGAUAGCGCACAAGUAGAGUGAUCGAAAGAUGAAAAGCACUUUGGAAAGAGAGUCAAACAGCACGUGAAAUUGUUGAAAGGGAAGCGCUUGCAGCCAGACUUGCUCGCAGUUGCUCAUCCGGGCUCUCGCCCGGUGCACUCUUCUGCGGGCAGGCCAGCAUCAGUUUGGGCAGCCGGAUAAAGACCUCUGUCACGUAUCUUCCUUCGGGAAGACCUUAUAGGGGAGGUGUAAUGCGGCUAGCCCGGACUGAGGUCCGCGCAUUUGCUAGGAUGCUGGCGUAAUGGCUGUAAGCGGCCCGUCUUGAAACACGGACCAAGGAGUCUAACAUCUAUGCGAGUGUUUGGGUGUCAAGCCCGGGCGCGCAAUGAAAGUGAACGGAGGUGGGAACCCUCUCGGGGGUGCACCAUC